rnacentral:rRNA from 1 species
UACGUAGGUGGCAAGCGUUGUCCGGAUUUACUGGGCGUAAAGAGCGCGCAGGCGGUCGUUCAAGUCGCGUGUGAAAGCCCCCGGCUCAACUGGGGAGGGUCACGCGAUACUGAUCGACUCGAAGGCAGGAGAGGGAAGUGGAAUUCCCGGUGUAGUGGUGAAAUGCGUAGAUAUCGGGAGGAACACCAGUGGCGAAGGCGGCCAACUGGUCCGGUACUGACGCUGAGGUGCGAAAGCGUGGGGAGCAAACAGG